rnacentral:rRNA from 1 species
UACGUAGGUGGCAAGCGUUGUCCGGAUUUACUGGGCGUAAAGAGCGCGCAGGCGGUCGUUCAAGUCGCGUGUGAAAGCCCCCGGCUCAACUGGGGAGGGUCACGCGAUACUGAUCGACUCGAAGGCAGGAGAGGGUAGUGGAAUUCCCGGUGUAGCGGUGAAAUGCGUAGAUAUCUGGAGGAAUACCGGUGGCGAAGGCGGCAUCCUGGACCGGCAUUGACGCUGAUGGAGCGAAAGCUAGGGGAGCAAACGGG